CGCAGGGCCCUGGCGCAGGCAU
rnacentral:miRNA from 1 species